UACGGAGGGUGCAAGCGUUAUCCGGAUUCACUGGGUUUAAAGGGUGCGUAGGAGGGCGGGUAAGUCAGUGGUGAAAUCUCUGGGCUUAACCCAGAAACUGCCGUUGAUACUAUCUGCCUUGAAUACCGUGGAGGUGAGCGGAAUAUGUCAUGUAGCGGUGAAAUGCUUAGAUAUGACAUAGAACACCAAUUGCGAAGGCAGCUCGCUACACGAAUAUUGACUCUGAGGCACGAAAGCGUGGGGAUCAAACAGG
rnacentral:rRNA from 1 species